AAGACAUCGUGAAAGAGUUUAUAAAACUGCAGGGGAUGCAAAGACAACAGCAAAAACAGUUGAUGUUGCAUGAAUGCGAGAAAAUGGACGAAGGUGAUGAUAGCGAUAACACUGAGGAUGAUGAAGAUGGUGUCGAAGUCGUUGGUGGCAAUGAAGAGGAUGACGACGACGACGAUGGUGAUGAAUAUGAUGAACGGCCGCA
rnacentral:misc_RNA from 1 species